rnacentral:rRNA from 1 species
GACAGAGGAUGCAAGCGUUGUCCGGAAUUAUUGGGCGUAAAGAGCUCGUAGGCGGUUCGUCGCGUCGGCUGUGAAAACCCGGAGCUCAACUCCGGGCCUGCAGUCGAUACGGGCGGACUCGAGUUCGGCAGGGGAGACUGGAAUUCCUGGUGUAGCGGUGAAAUGCGCAGAUAUCAGGAGGAACACCGGUGGCGAAGGCGGGUCUCUGGGCCGAUACUGACGCUGAGGAGCGAAAGCGUGGGGAGCGAACAGG